GACGAACGCUGGCGGCGUGCUUAACACAUGCAAGUCGAACGGGAAGGCCCUGCUUUUGUGGGGUGCUCGAGUGGCGAACGGUUGAGUAACACGUGAGUAACCUGCCCCUGACUGUGGGAUAACUUCAGGAAACUGGGGCUAAUACCGGAUAGGAGCUCUUGCUGCAUGGUGGGGGUGGGAAAGUUUCGGCGGUUGGGGAUGGACUCGCGGCUUAUCAGCUUGUUGGUGGGGUAGUGUCUGACCAAGGCCUGGACGGGUGGCCGGCCUGCGCGGGUGAGCGGACACACUGGAACGGAGAUACGACCCAGACUAGUACCGGACGCAGCAGAGGAGAGUAUUACAUUAGGGGCGGAAGCCUGAUGUAGCAACGCCGCGUGGGGGAUGACGGCCUUCGGGUUGUAUACCGCUUUCGCCUGAGACGAGGCGUGAGUGACGGUACCGGGUAAAGAAGCACCGGCUAACUACGUG
rnacentral:rRNA from 1 species